ACCCGCUGAACUUAAGCAUAUCAAUAAGCGGAGGAAAAGAAACCAACAGGGAUUGCCCUAGUAACGGCGAGUGAAGCGGCAACAGCUCAAAUUUGAAAUCUGGCGUCUUCGGCGUCCGAGUUGUAAUUUGCAGAGGGCGCUUUGGCAUUGGCAGCGGUCCAAGUUCCUUGGAACAGGACGUCACAGAGGGUGAGAAUCCCGUACGUGGUCGCUAGCCUUUACCGUGUAAAGCCCCUUCGACGAGUCGAGUUGUUUGGGAAUGCAGCUCUAAAUGGGAGGUAAAUUUCUUCUAAAGCUAAAUACUGGCCAGAGACCGAUAGCGCACAAGUAGAGUGAUCGAAAGAUGAAAAGCACUUUGGAAAGAGAGUUAAAAAGCACGUGAAAUCGUUGAAAGGGAAGCGCUUGCAGCCAGACUUGCCUGUAGUUGCUCAUCCGGGUUUCUACCCGGUGCACUCUUCUAUAGGCAGGCCAGCAUCAGUUUGGGCGGUUGGAUAAAGGUCUCUGUCAUGUACCUCUCUUCGGGGAGAACUUAUAGGGGAGACGACAUGCAACCAGCCUGGACUGAGGUCCGCGCAUCUGCUAGGAUGCUGGCGUAAUGGCUGUAAGCGGCCCGUCUUGAAACACGGACCAAGGAGUCUAACAUCUAUGCGAGUGUUUGGGUGUCAAGCCCGAGCGCGUAAUGAAAGUGAACGGAGGUGGGAACCUUUCGGGGUGCACCAUCGACCGAUCCUGAUGUCUUCGGAUGGAUUUGAGUAAGAGCAUAGCUGUUGGGACCCGAAAGAUGGUGAACUAUGCUUGAAUAGGGUGAAGCCAGAGGAAACUCUGGUGGAGGCUCGCAGCGGUUCUGACGUGCAAAUCGAUCGUCAAAUUUGGGCAUAGGGGCGAAAGACUAAUCGAACUAUCUAGUAGCUGGUUCCUGCCGAAGUUUCCCUCAGGA
rnacentral:rRNA from 1 species